AGGAAGAAAAAGAAAAAAAGAAGUCUUUACUCUCACGAACGUCUGCAGAUAAGUGUAUAUGAUUUACGACGGAUUCGGAAGAUGAUUUGUAAUUGUGCCCCGUUUAACCCUGAAUGAAAUUAAUCGCCGAUCUCUGUGAUGGUUAACUUUCUUACACGUUCGCGCGAUUAUUAUCACCGUGAGAUCAGCCAUUUUAUAUUUUCUGAGAUGAAAAUGUUAUCGAGAAGCUGAAAGAACAUGAGGGAUAAGUAACGCGAGCUCAAUCGGCGAGUAUGUAUUCGAACGGUGCGAUUAAGCCUCGUUACAUUCGAUGCGGCUACGGAUAGAGCGAUAAGAAAUAUGGAAAUAUUGCGGUCGCAGUUAUGGAAUUACGUCACCGUCGUAUUUAUUUGUAUGUUAGUUAGAGAGAGCGUAAACAAAACAAGAGCUUGGCUCGAGCCAAGGAGACACUCGUUAUUCUCUCAUACCAGUGUGAUCCUCGAUACAGUAAACAUCUCUCCGAGAGAACGUCUUCAAGUUCGUCGCAUUUUCUAAAUUUUCUACAAUAAUUUAAGUAAAAUCUAACUUUUCAUUUAUAUUUUAUACAUAUAUAUUUAUUACUUUUUGUGUCUCAAGCUUAAUAAUUUAUAAUUUAUUAAUAGUAAUCGAUCGUAUUUCGUGUCUUAUUAAACUUCGUAUAUUUCAUUUCUUAAUCUAUAUAUAUAUAUGUAUGUAUGUAUGUGUAUGUAUAUGUAUUAUACAUAUAGAUUCUUUUAAUAAGUUCAUAUUUAAUUCUUAGUGUUUCUCGUUUAAUAUAAUUUAUUAUAUUUCAGAUUGUUUUCGUUCAUUCUCUUUAUAUUCGACGAAUUUUCAAUUACGAUCGCGAACAAUGUGAUUUAUAGAAUCAGUCCUCGUCCGAAAUAUUUAUAAUAAUACUUUUAUCAAUCCAAUUAAAUUGCUUUACAAAUUAAAUAAAAUCGCAAAUCAGAAUCAAGGUUACACGAUAAUAUCUUUACGAAGGAAAAUUAGAUCGUUAACAUUAAUCUACGAUAUCAAUCUAACUAAUUAUUAAUAUUACGUCGACGUAUAAUAGAUUUAUACUCACGAUUAGAUAUUAUAUAUUAGAUCGAUAAUAAAAUAACUAUAAGAUUAAACAAAUAUAAUCGUAAUAGAUAAUUUUAUCGAGUAUAGACAUUUUAAAUAUAGGUAAACAUUAUAUUAUGUAUAAUAAAUACGUUAUACGUUUUGUAUAGAUCGUUAAGAAGCGUAGAAAUGAAUAACAACCAUUAGGAGA